GGACUACCGGGGUUUCUAAUCCCGUUUGCUCCCCUGGCCUUCGUGCCUCAGUGUCAGGAACUGCCCAGAGAUCCGCCUUCGCAACUGGUCUUCCUCACGAUAUCUACGCAUUUCACUGCUACACCGUGAAUUCCGAUCUCCUCUACAGUCCUCGAGUCACGCAGUAUCCGGUGCAAUUUCGGAGUUGAGCUCCGAGAUUUCACACCAGACUUGCAUCACCACCUACGCACCCUUUACGCCCAAUGAAUCCGAACAACGCUUGAGACCUCUGUAUUACCGCGGCUGCUGGCAC
rnacentral:rRNA from 2 species